GAUGAACGCUAGCGGCAGGCUUAACACAUGCAAGUCGAGGGGUAGCAUGGGUAGCAAUACCUGAUGACGACCGGCAAACGGGUGCGGAACACGUACAGAACCUACCUUUACCUGGGGCAUAGCCCCGGAGAAAUCCGGAUUAACUCCCCAUAACAUAAUUGGGUGGCAUCACUUAGUUAUUAAAAAUUUAUUGGGUAAAGAUGGCUGUGCGUCCCAUUAGCUAGUUGGUAGGGUAACGGCCUACCAAGGCAACGAUGGGUAGCUGGUGUG
rnacentral:rRNA from 1 species